ACGCUCCACAUCAGCAUUAAUUUUUUGUGGGAAUAUCCAACGGUGGCUUUAAAGCUAAGAAUAUCUAGUACAGUCCUCACUUCCCCUAACCCUCCAAAAAUCUUAUAAUGCUUCAAAAGCUAAGAAUAAAUUAUUCACUUCCACCAUGGGCUUCUCAGUGGUAUCUACUUGAUGAGGAUCUUCACGAUAACUUUUCCUGGUCCAGUGCAGCAUCGAUGACAACGUUCUUCAC